GAUUCAACGGCCGCGGUACUCUGACCGUGCAAAGGUAGCACAAUCACUUGUUCUUUAAAUGAGGACUAGAAUCAAUGGCAUCACGAGGGUCCCACUGUCUCCUUUUUCUAAUCAGUGAAAUUGAUCUCCUCGUGAAGAAGCGAGGAUAACUUUAUAAGACGAGAAGACCCCAUGGAGCUUAAAACUCAAUAGAUAACCCUACAACCACUAAAUAUUUUGGGGACCUAUCCAUUAGUUUUCGGUUGGGGUGACCGCGGAGAACAACCUAACCUCCGUAAUGAAAAGAAUAAAAUCAUAAUCUAAGAGUUACACCUCUAAGAAUUAAUAAAUUAACUUACAGUGAUCCAAUAUUUUAUUGAUCAAUGGACCAAGUUACCCUGGGGAUAACAGCGCUAUCCACUUCUAGAGUCCAUAUCGCCAAGUGGGUUUACGACCUCGAUGUUGGAUCAGGGUGUCCCAGUGGUGCAGCC
rnacentral:rRNA from 1 species